CCUACCGGAGGCAGCAGUGGGGAAUCUUCCACAAUGGACGCAAGUCUGAUGGAGCACCGCCGCGUGAGCCAUGAAGGCGCUCGGCUGGUAAAGCGCUGUAUGAGGGAGAAACGAGUCCCCUUUUACCCGCCCCUGACUGACGGUACCUCAGAAUAAGCACCUGCUACACGA
rnacentral:rRNA from 1 species